AAAGACCUUGCUGACACAGGCAGACCCUCUCCAUCUGACCUGCCCUUCCAGCUGCCCCGGCCAUCGAUCCCUCCUUCUCAACACCCUGGUGGUGUGUGUUGGAAUGGACUUCGGACCCUGUCCUCUUGGGAUGCAAAGGAUGAAGUGACUCUCCAGCUGCAUUUGAGACACCUAUAGGACCUGCUAAGAGAGUUUGGGACAAGGAGCGAGAAUGGAUCUUGGAACAGGUACGG